rnacentral:tRNA from 1 species
AAGAGGUUAGUCUAACAAAAGACCAUUGAUUUCGACUCAAUAAAUUGUGAUAAACACAACCCCUUU